rnacentral:rRNA from 1 species
GACGUAGGGCGCGAGCGUUGUCCGGAUUUAUUGGGCGUAAAGAGCUCGUAGGCGGCUCGUUGCGUCGGCUGUGAAAACCCGCAGCUCAACUGUGGGCUUGCAGCUGAUACGGGCGGGCUGGAGUUCGGUAGGGGAGACUGGAAUUCCUGGUGUAGCGGUGAAAUGCGCAGAUAUCAAGAGGAACACCGGUGGCGAAGGCGGGUCUCUGGGCAGUAACUGACGCUGAGGAGCGAAAGCGUGGGGAGCGAACAGG